rnacentral:lncRNA from 1 species
CUCUGCGUCCAGAAGAGUUGGAGUUACAGGGAGCUGUAGGUGCCCAAUAUGAGUUCUGUGAACUGAACUUGGUUCCUCGGUAAGAACGAAAUCAAAGCAAAGAAGUAUUAGCAUGGAAGACACCAAGGCACACUCCAGGGGUGCAGGGCAGCUGGGAUCUAGGGCUCCAGGCAUGUCGCACACAUUGUUCUGGAGAUGAUGGACCUUAUUAAGCAGAGAGGGAGCGAUUGUAGCAGGCUGACACAAGCUGGAUGAAGAGAGAAGGCCGAGAGGUGAAAGAAUACCACAGCCCCUCAC